rnacentral:rRNA from 1 species
UACGUAGGGUGCAAGCGUUGUCCGGAAUUAUUGGGCGUAAAGAGCUCGUAGGCGGUCUGUCGCGUCGGCUGUGAAAACCUGGGGCUUAACUCCGGGCCUGCAGCCGAUACGGGCAGACUAGAGUUCGGCAGGGGAGACUGGAAUUCCUGGUGUAGCGGUGAAAUGCGCAGAUAUCAGGAGGAACACCGGUGGCGAAGGCGGGUCUCUGGGCCUUACCUGACGCUGAGGAGCGAAAGCGUGGGGAGCAAACAGG